GAGGUCUAGCCUGCCCAGUGACGUUCAACGGCCGCGGUAUUCUAACCGUGCGAAGGUAGCGUAAUCACUUGUUUUCUAAAUAAAGACCAGUAUGAAAGGCAUCACGAGGAUUAAACUGUCUCCUCUUUCUAAUCAGUGAACCUAAUCUCCCCGUGAAGAAGCCGGGAUUCACAUAUAAGACGAGAAGACCCUGUGGAGCUUAAAACAAUUAUCUGUUUUUGGUUGGGGUGACCGCGGAGAAAACCCAUCCUCCGCAAUGAAAAAUAAGUUACAACUUUAAGCAUCAAAAUUGACACAAGUGACCCAUAAUUUGAUCAAUGAGCCAAGUUACCCCAGGGAUAACAGCACAAUCCACUUUAAGAGCCCCUAUCGACAAGUGGGCUUAUGACCUCGAUGUUGGAUCGGGAUAUCCUAGUGGUGCAGCCGCUACAAAGGUU
rnacentral:rRNA from 1 species